GGUCCAAUAAUGUAGAGGUUAACACGCGCGAUGACUUAAUGGUAUACUUCUGUAGUUCUCCGUGAGAUCCAGGUUCGAGUCCUGGUUGGACUG